rnacentral:rRNA from 1 species
AGAAAGUAAGCAAGGGCAGACGGUGGAUGCCUUGGCUCUCGGAGGCGACGAAGGACGUGAUAAGCUGCGAAAAGCCCGGGGGAGGCGCAAAUAGCCCUUGAUCCCGGGAUAUCCGAAUGGGGCAACCCGGCAGGCUGAAGGCCUGCCAUCCCGAAAGGGAGGCGAACGUGGGGAACUGAAACAUCUAAGUACCCAUAGGAGGAGAAAAUAAACAAUGAUUCCGUAAGUAGUGGCGAGCGAACACGGAAGAGCCCAAACCCAUGUCGUCUAGGCGACACGGGGGUUGUAGGACCACGACGUGGCAAGAUAGAGUCAAGUGGAACGCCUUGGAAAAGGCGGUCAUAGAGGGUGAAAACCCCGUACACGACUGACGAUUGAAGCCUAGUGGCAUCCUGAGUAGCGCGGGGCACGAGAAAUCUUGCGUGAAUUAGCGGGGCCCAUCCCGUAAGGCUAAAUACUCCCGAGAGACCGAUAGCGAACCAGUACCGUGAGGGAAAGGUGAAAAGAACCCCGAGCAGGGGAGUGAAAUAGACCCUGAACCCGUCUGCCUACAAGCGGUCGGAGCGUCGUAAUGACGUGACGGCGUGCCUUUUGCAUAAUGAACCUACGAGUUACCUUCCCCGGCAAGGUUAAGUUCUUGAGGAACGGAGCCGAAGCGAAAGCGAGUCUGAACAGGGCGCCAAGUCGGNNNNNNNNNNACGGAGCCGAAGCGAAAGCGAGUCUGAACAGGGCGCCAAGUCGGGGGGGGUAGACGCGAAACCGAGUGAUCUACCCUUGGCCAGGUUGAAGGUUGGGUAACACCAACUGGAGGACCGGAUGGGUAAGCGUUGAAAAGCUUUCCAAUGAGCUGAGGGUAGGGGUGAAAGGCUAAUCAAACUCGGAGAUAGCUCGUACUCCCCGAAAUGCAUUUAGGUGCAGCCUCUUUAUAGUAUAUCGUGAGGUAGAGCGACUGAUUGGAUGCGAGGGCUUCACCGCCUAUCAAGUCCAGAUAAACUCCGAAUGCGCGAUAUAUAUUUACAGGGAGUGAGGGCGCGGGUGCUAAGGUCCGUGUCCGAGAGGAGAAGAAUCCAGACCACCGGCUAAGGCCCCCAAAUGAUCGUUAAGUUGAACUAACGAGGUCGGAUCGCAGAGACAGCUAGGAUGUUGGCUUGGAAGCAGCCAUUCAUUUAAAGAGUGCGUAACAGCUCACUAGUCGAGCGAUCUGGCGUGGAUAAUAAUCGGGCAUAAACGAUCUGCCGAAGCCGUGGAUGUCGCAAGACAUGGUAGGGGAGCAUUCCAUGCCGCGUCGAAGAUGAGGGAUGACCCUUGUUGGAGCGCAUGGAAAAGCAAAUGUAGGUAUGAGUAACGAUAAGGGGGGCGAGAAACCCCCCCGCCGAAAGACCAAGGUUUCCUGAUCAACGCUAAUCGGAUCAGGGUGAGUCGGGACCUAAGGCAAAGCCGAACGGCGCCGCCGAUGGAAGAAUGGGUUAAUAUUCCCAUACUGCCUCAUGGAGUGACGUGGAGACGGAGAAGUGACAGUCCUGCCGGCUGACGGAAUAGCCGGUUGAAGGGUGUAGAUAUUGAUUCCCGUAGGCAAAUCCGCGGGGAGAGUCGAACCUGAGAGUAUACGGAGCGCUUGCGCAACGUAAUAUGGACGUAACCAUGCUCCCGAGAAAAUCCGCUAAACUUAUCCAUGCGGCACCCGUACCGUAAACGGACACACGUGGUCGGGUUGAGAAUACUGAGGCGCUCGAGUGAUUCACGGUUAAGGAACUAGGCAAAUUGACCCUGUAACUUCGGGAUAAAGGGUCCUCGUCGUAAGGCGAGGCGCAGAGAAUAGGUCCAGGCAACUGUUUAACAAAAACACAUGGCUGUGCUAAAUGGAAACAUGAUGUAUACAGCCUGACACCUGCCCGGUGCCGGAAGGUUAAGAGGAGAUGUCAUCCGCGAGGAGAAGCGUUGAAUUGAAGCCCCGGUAAACGGCGGCCGUAACUAUAACGGUCCUAAGGUAGCGAAAUUCCUUGUCGGGUAAGUUCCGACCUGCACGAAUGGUGUAAUGAUCUGGACACUGUCUCAACCGUGAGCUCGGUGAAAUUGUAGUAUCGGUGAAGAUGCCGAUUACCCGCGAUGGGACGAAAAGACCCCGUGAACCUUUACUAUAGCUUUACAUUGAGUUUGGGCAGACGAUGUGUAGGAUAGGCCGGAGGCAUUGAAGCAGGUACGCCAGUAUUUGUGGAGCCGACGUUGAAAUACGGCCCUUCGGUUGUUUGAGUUCUAACUCCUAGUUAGGAGGACACUGUAUGGUGGGUAGUUUGACUGGGGUGGUCGCCUCCAAAAGCGUAACGGAGGCUUCUAAAGGUGCCCUCAGACCGAUUGGUAACCGGUCGCAGAGUGUAAUGGCAUAAGGGCGCUUGACUGGGAGACAUACAAGUCGAUCAGGUAGGAAACUAGAGCAUAGUGAUCCGGUGGUUCCGCAUGGAAGGGCCAUCGCUCAAAGGAUAAAAGGUACUCCGGGGAUAACAGGCUGAUCAUUCCCAAGAGCUCAUAUCGACGGAAUGGUUUGGCACCUCGAUGUCGGCUCGUCACAUCCUGGGGCUGGAGAAGGUCCCAAGGGUUGGGCUGUUCGCCCAUUAAAGUGGCACGCGAGCUGGGUUCAGAACGUCGUGAGACAGUUCGGUCUCUAUCUAUCGUGGGCGCAGGAGAUUUGCGAGGCUCUGACACUAGUACGAGAGGACCGUGUCGGACGUACCACUGGUUUACCGGUUGUCCCGCCAGGGGCACCGCCGGGUAUCUAAGUACGGAUCGGAUAAGUGCUGAAAGCAUCUAAGUACGAAGCCGGCCUCAAGAUUAGAUCUCCCUCAAGGGUGGUUAUAGACGAUGACCUUGAUAGGCCACAGGUGUAAGGGCGGCGACGUCCGAGCCGAGUGGUACUAAUAGCCCGGGACUUUCCUCA